ACUUAAGUAGUUUAAUAUUUUAUAAAAUAUUGAUUUGUGAUAUCAAUGAUAUAAUUAAUUUAUCUUAGGUU
rnacentral:tRNA from 1 species